CCUGAGAAACGGCUACCACAUCCAAGGNAAGGCAGCAGGCGCGCAAAUUACCCAAUCCUAAUACAGGGNAGGUAGUGACAAUAAAUAACGAUACAGGGCCCUUUCGGGUCUUGUAAUUGGAAUGAGUACAAUGUAAAUACCUUAACGAGGAACAAUUGGAGGGCAAGUCUGGUGCCAGCAGCCGCGGUAAUUCCAGCUCCAAUAGCGUAUAUUAAAGUUGUUGCAGUUAAAAAGCUCGUAGUUGAACUUUGGGCUUGGUUGGCCGGUCCGUUUUUAUGACGUGUACUGGUUCCAACCGAGCCUUUCCUUCUGGCUAACUAUCCUUUCGGGGGUAGCGAACCAGGACUUUUACUUUGAAAAAAUUAGAGUGUUCAAAGCAGGCCUUUGCUCGAAUAUAUUAGCAUGGAAUAAUAGAAUAGGACGUUUGGUUCUAUUUUGUUGGUUUCUAGGACCAUCGUAAUGAUUAAUAGGGACGGUCGGGGGCAUCAGUAUUCAAUUGUCAGAGGUGAAAUUCUUGGAUUUAUUGAAGACUAACUACUGCGAAAGCAUUUGCCAAGGACGUUUUCAUUAAUCAAGAACGAAAGUUAGGGGAUCGAAGAUGAUCAGAUACCGUCGUAGUCUUAACCAUAAACUAUGCCGACUAGGGAUCGGGUGUUGUUUUUUUA
rnacentral:rRNA from 1 species